rnacentral:rRNA from 1 species
UUGAAAGGGAAACGAUUGAAGUCAGUCGUACCAGCGGGAAUCAACCUUUCGAGUGGGGUUUUGGAGUUUUGAAGAGUGUCAAAACCUUUGAGAUUUCAAAAUUUUCGCUCCUUUGGUGUACUUUCUCGUGGGUAGGUUAACAUCGAUUUCGAUCAUCAUAAAAGGAUUGGAGGAAUGUAGCUUCGAUCUUGUAUUGAAGUGUUAUAGCCUUUGGUAAAUGUGAUGAUUGGGAUCGAGGAUUGCAACGAAUACCCUUUUGGGCUAUCCGCCUGAUCUCUGAUACGUGGCCUUGGCAUCGAAAGCUUGCUUAUGGUAUCAAGGUAUUACGGUCAAAAGGUUAGAACGGAUUACAUUCGUUAAGGAUGUUGACGUA